rnacentral:rRNA from 1 species
CCUACGGGGAGCAGCAGUGAGGAAUAUUGGUCAAUGGCCGUAAGGCUGAACCAGCCAAGUCGCGUGAAGGAAGAAGGAUCUAUGGUUUGUAAACUUCUUUUAUAGGGGAAUAAAGGUAUCCACGUGUGGAUAUUUGCAUGUACCCUAUGAAUAAGCAUCGGCUAACUCCGUGCCAGCAGCCGCGGUAAUACGGAGGAUGCGAGCGUUAUCCGGAUUUAUUGGGUUUAAAGGGUGCGUAGGUUGUUUUUUAAGUCAGCGGUGAAAGUUUGUGGCUCAACCAUAAAAUUGCCGUUGAAACUGGAAGACUUGAGUGUGUUUGAGGUAGGCGGAAUGCGUGGUGUAGCGGUGAAAUGCAUAGAUAUCACGCAGAACUCCGAUUGCGAAGGCAGUUCACUGGACUGCAACUGACACUGAGGCUCGAAAGUGUGGGUAUCAAACAGGAUUAGAUACCCUUGUAGUC